rnacentral:rRNA from 1 species
UGGGGAAUUUUGGACAAUGGGCGCAAGCCUGAUCCAGCCAUGCCGCGUGAGUGAAGAAGGCCCUCGGGUUGUAAAGCUCUUUUGUCCGGAAAGAAAAGCAUUCGGUGAAUACCCGGAUGUUCUGACGGUACCGGAAGAAUAAGCACCGGCUAACUUCGUGCCAGCAGCCGCGGUAAUACGAAGGGUGCAAGCGUUACUCGGAAUUACUGGGCGUAAAGCGUGCGUAGGUGGUUGUUUAAGUCUGAUGUGAAAGCCCUGGGCUCAACCUGGGAAUGGCAUUGGAAACUGGGCAGCUAGAGUGCGGUAGAGGGUAGUGGAAUUCCCGGUGUAGCAGUGAAAUGCGUAGAGAUCGGGAGGAACAUCUGUGUCGAAGGCGACUGCCUGGACCAGCACUGACACUGAGGCACGAAAGCGUGGGGAGCAAACA